GCCCCUCGUCUCCUCCAAGAUGGCGAGCGGCGGCAGCGGGGGGGUGUCAGUACCUGCGCUGUGGAGUGAAGUGAACCGGUAUGGCCAGAACGGCGACUUCACGCGCGCUCUCAAGACCGUCAAUAAGAUACUACAGAUCAACAAAGAUGACGUAACUGCCCUGCAUUGUAAAGUGGUAUGCCUUAUCCAGAAUGGAAGUUUCAAGGAAGCUUUGAAUGUCAUCAAUACUCACACCAAAGUGUUAGCCAAUAACUCUCUCUCCUUUGAAAAGGCAUAUUGCGAGUACAGGCUGAACAGAAUUGAGAAUGCCUUGAAGACAAUAGAAAGUGCCAACCAGCAGACAGACAAACUGAAGGAGCUUUAUGGACAAGUGUUAUACCGUUUGGAACGCUAUGAUGAAUGCUUAGCAGUGUAUAGAGAUCUCGUCCGAAACUCCCAAGAUGAUUAUGAUGAGGAGAGGAAAACAAACCUUUCAGCAGUUGUUGCAGCUCAAAGCAAUUGGGAAAAAGUGGUUCCAGAGAACCUGGGCCUCCAAGAAGGCACACAUGAGCUGUGCUACAACACUGCAUGUGCACUGAUAGGCCAAGGCCAGCUGAACCAGGCCAUGAAAAUCCUACAAAAAGCUGAAGAUCUUUGCCGCCGUUCAUUAUCAGAAGACACUGAUGGGACUGAGGAAGACCCACAGGCAGAACUGGCCAUCAUUCAUGGUCAGAUGGCUUAUAUUCUGCAGCUUCAGGGUCGAACAGAGGAGGCUUUGCAACUUUACAAUCAAAUAAUAAAACUAAAACCAACAGAUGUGGGAUUACUAGCUGUAAUUGCAAAUAACAUCAUUACCAUUAACAAGGACCAAAAUGUCUUUGACUCCAAGAAGAAAGUGAAAUUAACCAAUGCGGAAGGAGUAGAGUUUAAGCUUUCCAAGAAACAACUACAAGCUAUAGAAUUUAACAAAGCUUUACUUGCUAUGUACACAAACCAGGCUGAACAAUGCCGCAAAAUAUCUGCCAGUUUACAGUCCCAAAGUCCCGAGCAUCUCUUACCUGUGUUAAUCCAAGCUGCCCAGCUCUGCCGUGAAAAGCAGCACACAAAAGCAAUAGAGCUGCUUCAGGAAUUUUCAGAUCAGCAUCCAGAAAAUGCAGCUGAAAUUAAGCUGACCAUGGCACAGUUGAAAAUUUCUCAAGGUAAUAUUUCUAAAGCAUGUCUAAUAUUGAGAAGCAUAGAGGAGUUAAAGCAUAAACCAGGCAUGGUAUCUGCAUUAGUUACCAUGUAUAGCCAUGAAGAAGAUAUUGAUAGUGCCAUUGAGGUCUUCACACAAGCUAUCCAGUGGUAUCAAAACCAUCAGCCAAAAUCUCCUGCUCAUUUGUCCUUGAUAAGAGAAGCUGCAAACUUCAAACUCAAAUAUGGGCGGAAGAAGGAGGCAAUUAGUGACCUACAACAGCUGUGGAAACAAAAUCCAAAAGAUAUUCACACCCUGGCACAGCUUAUUUCUGCUUACUCACUUGUAGAUCCAGAGAAAGCCAAAGCUCUUAGUAAACACUUGCCAUCGUCAGAUAGUAUGUCUCUAAAAGUAGAUGUUGAGGCUCUUGAAAAUUCUGCUGGUGCUACAUACAUUCGGAAGAAGGGUGGAAAAGUUACUGGAGAUAGUCAACCAAAGGAACAAGGGGCAUAGAGGAGUACACCGGAGGGAAUAGUCACUUCUUCCUGAGGACAGUGGGAAGUUAGGAAAGGCUUCAUGGAGAAGAUGAUUGUGUUGACUCUGAGGAAGAUGAGGACGAGACAGGGAGAUUUGAAAAAGAAGAAAAAGAAAAAGAAGGGAAAAUUGCCUAAGAAUUAUGACCCAAAAGUUACCCCAGAUCCAGAAAGAUGGCUGCCAAUGCGAGAACGUUCUUACUACCGGGGAAGAAAGAAGGGUAAAAAGAAGGAUCAGAUUGGAAAAGGGACCCAGGGAGCAACUGCAGGAGCUUCAUCUGAACUGGAUGCCAGUAAAACUGUGAGCAGCCCACCCACCUCCCCAAGACCUGGCAGUGCUGCAACAGUAUCUGCCUCUACAAGUAACAUCAUACCCCCAAGACACCAGAAACCUGCAGGGGCUCCAGCAACAAAAAAGAAACAGCAACAGAAAAAGAAGAAAGGUGGAAAAGGUGGCUGGUGAUGAGAAUAUUCUUGUUGCAGGCUGUUUUUAAACUAGUGUCAGUGACACUAGGAAUAUAAUAAAGGUAACACAGCAAGAAGCACAGAACUACUCCCUCUUCAUCUCCAUAUUUUCAUAAUUUCUUGUGUUUCAAAUAGGGAAACAUCUUCCUCAAAGUCUGCCUAGUGAGAUAUGGCCUACUGGUUGCCUCAUAGCUUUGUACAGAUUAUGAGGACUGAAAAUAAUUGGGCAUUUACCCAUCUUGGUAUCUGUUGUAUCCUUUAUCUGUGUGUGCUGAUUUGAUCUUUUUUCAGUUUCACAUACCUUAUCUAAGGUUUCCCAGGAUUUAAACAGAAACUACUUCUAUGAUUUCAGCUGGAGUCUGAAGAUACUUGUUUCUGUUCAAGUCCCACUUUAAAUUAUGUCUUAGGAGACUGAAAGUGGAAUCUUCUGAGCAUUCCUAAAUAUCUGCUUAGAAAUAUCAUGUGAUAAAGAGGGACCUUCUUAAUACACUGAUGUUCUUCACUAAAUGGAUGGCCACAAGAAAAAUAAAGUAAAUGUCUUAAAUAAUUUAACCAUAAAUUUUCUGUCAUGUGAUACUGGAAUAUGGGAUACUUUUCAUGUUUAUAUAUAUAUAUAUAUGUAUAUAUAUAUACAUAUAUAUAUAUAUAUAAACAUGAAAUAUAUAUAUAUGGCUCCUUUGUGCCCCAUGUCAUUUUCAGAUUAUGGUAGCAUGCUGAUACAGCACCAUGAAAGAACUCAAGGAAAAUAUAUCAAUGUAAGAAGUUCACUCUUAGACCCAGUGUUCUGAGGUCACAUGGGUUUGGACUGUCUCAAUCAGAAAGAUUAAUGACUGUUAUCAAGAACAUGAACAUUGGCUUCCUCCAUAGAGAAGAAAUCAGUAUCUGAGUUGCAUACCAGGCAGUAUUAAAAUCUAACAGGUCUGUUUGGCCCAUUGAUAGAUACUCAAAUGGUGUCUCCUUCUGGUUAUGGAUUUUGACCAUUGAUUACCUUUCUCAAUGUAAUGAAGUAUUUUACAGUCAAUUUGUGGUGUAAAUGUUGCUCUUGUCUUUCCUUGCUUACAAACUACUUUCACAUUGAACAGCUGUGAGACAGACAUAUUGAGAUGCCUGCCCUUGUUAGUAUUCAUUUUAUGCUGCCCAAGAUAUCAUUUAAUUUAGACUUAACAAGUAUUUCCUUGUGAUUAUAUUACUCUGUCCUUGUUAAUAAAGUGCUGCUGUGUUUGACUCUGAACAUACUACCAAAACUUCUUCAAAGAGUUUUUUAUGAAAGACUUUCCUCCUUUACAAGAAAGAAAUGGGGUGCUGCCUUUCUGUUUAGUAAAAGCAGAAUUUGCAGUGGCAUCUAAAGAGAUCUUUUUUAAAUAAAAAUUAUGUAUUGUGGCAUAAUCCUUUUUUUGAGCUCUACAGAGAACAGUCUUUUGGUAAUAGUGGCAGGUAUUUAUUCCUUCUGAAUAUAUACCCCAUUAUAGGAAUAACUGUUACUUAUUUAGGAUUCCAUCAUUGAAAAUUUUGACCCAAGGCACAGCAGUGAAAUUUAUAGUUCUCAAUUUAGUUGUCAUUAUUGACAGGCAUUGGUAUUAUUAGUCAUUGCUAAGCAACUAAAACUUCAUCAGUUCAAAUAAGUUUUAAUUGUCAAAUGAAGUAUAAACACAUGAACUUUCUAGAAAUAUUUCCUCUUUUGGAUAGGUCUUUAACCAGUUCAUAUAUAUACUUUGUCAAAUAUAUGGAUGUGUAUGUGUACAUUUAUAAGAACCAGUAUGGAUACAUCCAUUCACUGUGGUACAUUUUAAAAUAAAAUAUUUUAGCAGUGAAUAUGGA